UAUACCGUAGCUUGCUACACCAUAGACUGUGAGUUGCGAACGGGUGAGUAACGCGUAGGUAACCUGCCUAUUAGAGGGGGAUAACUAUUGGAAACGAUAGCUAAUACCGCAUAACAGUAUGUAACACAUGUUAGAUGCUUGAAAGAUGCAAUUGCAUCGCUAGUAGAUGGACCUGCGUUGUAUUAGCUAGUAGGUAGGGUAAAGGCCUACCUAGGCAACGAUACAUAGCCGACCUGAGAGGGUGAUCGGCCACACUGGGACUGAGACACGGCCCAGACUCCUACGGGAGGCAGCAGUAGGGAAUCUUCGGCAAUGGGGGGAACCCUGACCGAGCAACGCCGCGUGAGUGAAGAAGGUUUUCGGAUCGUAAAGCUCUGUUGUUAAGGAAGAACGAGUGUGAGAAUGGAAAGUUCAUACUGUGACGGUACUUAACCAGAAAGGGACGGCUAACUACGUGCCAGCAGCCGCGGUAAUACGUAGGUCCCGAGCGUUGUCCGGAUUUAUUGGGCGUAAAGCGAGCGCAGGCGGUUAGAUAAGUCUGAAGUGAAAGGCAGUGGCUCAACCAUUGUAGGCUUUGGAAACUGUUUAACUUGAGUGCAGAAGGGGAGAGUGGAAUUCCAUGUGUAGCGGUGAAAUGCGUAGAUAUAUGGAGGAACACCGGUGGCGAAAGCGGCUCUCUGGCCUGUAACUGACGCUGAGGCUCGAAAGCGUGGGGAGCGAACAGGAUUAGAUACCCAGGUAGUCCACGCCGUAAACGAUGAGUGCUAGGUGUUAGGUCCUUUCCGGGACUUAGUGCGUAACUAAC
rnacentral:rRNA from 1 species